rnacentral:rRNA from 1 species
UGGGGAAUAUUGCACAAUGGAGGGAACUCUGAUGCAGCGACGCCGCGUGAGUGAUGAAGGAAUUCGUUUCGUAAAACUCUGUUCUAUGGGAAGAAAAGGACUGUACCAUAGGAGAAAGCUCCGGCUAAAUACGUGCCAGCAGCCGCGGUAAUACGUAUGGAGCGAGCGUUGUCCGGAAUUAUUGGGCGUAAAGGGUGCGCAGGCGGCUUUACAAGUUGGAUGUGAAAUAUUGUGGCUCAACCACAAACGUGCAUCCAAAACUGCAAAGCUUGAGUUAAGGAGAGGUAAGUGGAAUUCCUGGUGUAGCGGUGGAAUGCGUGGAUAUCAGGAGGAAUACCGGUGGCGAAGGCGACUUACUGGACUUAAACUGACGCUCAGGCACGAAAGCGUGGGGAGCAAACAGG